ensembl:lncRNA
CGUGAUUCCAUCUGCAACGUUAUGAUGCAGCAAGAAGGCCCUCAGCAGUUGCAGUCUGUCAGCUUUGGACUUUCCAGCCUUUAGAACUGGACAGCAGAGGGGCACUGGAGAAAGAAGGCACAAAAAUGCAAAACCUCCUAAACUCUUCAGGGCAUGUGACUAUUUCUCAACUUUAUUUGAGUUGUCAUGGUGGAAGGUGUUGAUGGGAAGAGUAUGGCCAGGAGAAGCUGGAGAGUGAAGGCAAUUUGGGAGCAUGAAUAAAGAGGCCUGGCCCAGAUUCCCAGGCCUACAGCGGCCAGACAACAAUAGGAAAUGUGCUGAGAUGAGGGAACAACAAAAAAUACACAUAAUAAUGUGGAAAGGGUGAGGGAAAGCCACCCUGAGGGUCAGAGAAGCCCACACAGAGUGAACAUCCCAACUUGGAAGUCUGAAGCAGCAGAAUCAUGAGCUUUAGCCCAACCUGGGCAACUUAGACCCUGUGUCAAAAAGAAAAGAAAAAAAAUUCCGAGUGACUAUCCAGAGAAUAAUUCUGUAUUUCCUGUCGUACUUCGUGUCAGACCACUUGUCCUGCCUUUGCUAGCCUCUCCUCCCUGGUGGGAAAAGUGCAGCGGUGAGAGCAAAAGGCAGGGUAAACCAGUGUCUGUGGGCUGACCCUCAGGGUUAAAGACUAGGGUAACUGACCAGGUGGGUGCAAAGGGAAAUGUGGUAUGGUGGGUGAUGCAGUGGUAUUUUGUACACUCCCCCAGUCUGUGUGGCGGGGAGGAGUGCUAUAGGACAUUAAAAUUUUCUAGGGGAUUUUUUCCCUUCCACCUACAGACAGCUGUUAAUG